GACGAACGCUGGCGGCGUGCCUAAUACAUGCAAGUAGAACGCUGAAGAGAGGAGCUUGCUCUUCUUGGAUGAGUUGCGAACGGGUGAGUAACGCGUAGGUAACCUGCCUUGUAGCGGGGGAUAACUAUUGGAAACGAUAGCUAAUACCGCAUAACAAUGGAUGACAUAUGUCAUUUAUUUGAAAGGGGCAAUUGCUCCACUACAAGAUGGACCUGCGUUGUAUUAGCUAGUAGGUGAGGUAACGGCUCACCUAGGCGACGAUACAUAGCCGACCUGAGAGGGUGAUCGGCCACACUGGGACUGAGACACGGCCCAGACUCCUACGGGAGGCAGCAGUAGGGAAUCUUCGGCAAUGGGGGCAACCCUGACCGAGCAACGCCGCGUGAGUGAAGAAGGUUUUCGGAUCGUAAAGCUCUGUUGUAAGUCAAGAAAGGGUGUGAGAGUGGAAAGUUCACACUGUGACGGUAGCUUACCAGAAAGGGACGGCUAACUACGUG
rnacentral:rRNA from 1 species